rnacentral:misc_RNA from 1 species
AAAUUCCCAUUUGAACAAGAAGAAAUGGGUAAUGAGUGCACUAAACCCAAGAAGCAGAGCCGAGCGGCGAAACCAGAAAGUGAUGGGGUUUCACCAGAUCUAAGCUCAUAUGAAUCAGCUUGUGAAGAAGAUCCAGAACUUGGACGGUUUGAUUCUGCUCUUAAAGCAAGAACAUCUUUAGCUCUCAAUUCUAUAGCUGUUAACUCCGACUAUAAUUCCCUUUCUCUUGAGUCUUUACGUGAUGUUACUUUAUGCUUCCUAGAUAUGAACCAAGGUGUUGUCAAUUUCAUUCUUGAAAGCAAAAAAGAUAUAUGGAAAGACCCAGAUAUCUUUGAUCUUGUUAAGGAUUAUCUUGACAGUAGUAUUCACAUUAUGAACUUCUGUUCUUCUCUUGAUGACUCUCUUGAACGUGCUCGAAAUAGUCAGUCAAUAAUUCAAGUAGCACUUACAAAGUUUGAGAAUGAGAUCAAUGGAAAUCAAGGGGAUUCACAACUUCUCUUUACAGAAACUUUACAACAAUUCAAGAGUUUUAAGGCUGCUGGUGACCCUUUUACUGCUAAGUUUUUCUCAUCAUUUCAGGCAGUUUAUACGCACCAAAAUGCCUUGUUGACUAAACUCAAGUCAAAAAUGAGUAAACUUGAUAAGAAAUUGAAUAGAGUCAAGACUUGGAAGAGAGUGUCCAAUAUCAUUUUUGCUACUGUGUUUGUUUCUGCUAUAAUUUGCUCAAUUGUUGCUGCAGCUGUCACAGCACCACCAAUGGUGACAGCAUUAGCAGCUGCAGCCUCAGUGCCCUUGGGGACAGUGGGGAAAUGGAUAAAUUCCAUGUGGAACAAGUAUGAGGAUGAGUUGAAGAGGGAUAGGGGCAUAUUGAAUUCAAUGGAGGCUGGUACUUUUCUUGUGAUUCAAGACUUGGUAAAUAUUCAGGUUUUGGUGGAUAAAUUGCAGAUAAUUUUUGAGGGGUUGUUGCAUAGUGCAAAUUUUGCAAUCAACGGAGCUGAUUCAGUCACGAGUGCAAUGGAAGAGGUCAAGAAGAAUGUGAAUGGCUUUUCAGAAACCAUUGAGCUUUUGAGUGACCAUGCUAAAAAAUGUAGCCAAGAUAUUAGCAUGGCGCGAACUGUGAUCUUGCGCAGGAUUGUCAGCCAACCCAGUAGCUCGAAUCAGGGCUCUGGUAUGUUCUUUGACUGACAGUAACUAUCUUGCUGAUUCGUCUUUCGUUCGUAUACCAUGUACCAUUGUAAAAAGUUGGUCCUAACUAUGUUAAGUUGGGUCUGUUGGUUUGAGAUUUCUGACCCCUGCAGAAAAUUAAGUUAUAUUCCUCAAUUUGUUAGUCCAUCUCUUUUCACUUUCUGUUAUCAAUUCAGUUACUCUAUAUAGUUGAUGACAUUGAAUCUAUUAAAG